AUUCCAGCUCCAGUAGCGUAUAUUAAAGUUGUUGCGGUAAAAAGGCUCGUAGUUGGAUUUCUGUCGUGGCGCGCGGUCCGCACAAUGUGCGUGAUCUGUGUCGCUCGCGGCAUCUUUCCGAGAGCGUAUGUGCGCUUAAUUGCGCGCUGCGAUGCUCGGGACUUUUACUUUGAGGAAAUUAGAGUGUUCACGGCAGGCAUAGCCCGAAUACAUUAGCAUGGAAUAUCACUAUAGGAUUUCGGUCCUAUUUUGCUGGUUUCUAGGACUGAAAUAAUGAUUAAUAGGGACAAUCGGGGGCAUUCGUACUUAUACGUCAGAGGUGGAAUUCUUGGAUUGUAUAAUGACGAACUACUGCGAAAGCAUUUGCCAAGGAUGUUUUCAUUG
rnacentral:rRNA from 1 species